CCUACGGGAGGCAGCAGUGGGGAAUAUUGGACAAUGGGCGCAAGCCUGAUCCAGCGACGCCGCGUGUGUGAAGAAGGCCUGCGGGUUGUAAAGCACUUUCAGUGGGGAGGAAAAGCUCAGGGCGAAUACCCCUGAGCCUUGACGCUACCCAUAGAAGAAGCACCGGCCAACUCCGUGCCAGCAGCCGCGGUAAUA
rnacentral:rRNA from 1 species